rnacentral:rRNA from 1 species
ACGGGAGGCAGCAGUGGGGAAUAUUGCACAAUGGGGGAAACCCUGAUGCAGCGACGCCGCGUGAGUGAUGAAGUAUUUCGGUAUGUAAAACUCUAUCAGCAGGGAAGAUAAUGACGGUACCUGACUAAGAAGCACCGGCUAAAUACGUGCCAGCAGCCGCGGUAAUACGUAUGGUGCAAGCGUUAUCCGGAUUUACUGGGUGUAAAGGGUGCGUAGGUGGUAUGGCAAGUCAGAAGUGAAAGGCUGGGGCUCAACCCCGGGACUGCUUUUGAAACUGUCAAACUAGAGUACAGGAGAGGAAAGCGGAAUUCCUAGUGUAGCGGUGAAAUGCGUAGAUAUUAGGAGGAACACCAGUGGCGAAGGCGGCUUUCUGGACUGAAACUGACACUGAGGCACGAAAGCGUGGGGAGCAAACAGGAUUAGAUACCCUGGUA